rnacentral:rRNA from 1 species
AGUGAACGCUGGCGGCGUGCUUAACACAUGCAAGUCGAACGAGAACGGGCUAUAGCUUGCUAUAGUUGUCAGCUAAGUGGCGCACGGGUGAGUAAUGUAUAGGUAAUAUGCCUCUUACUAAGGGAUAACAAAUGGAAACGUUUGCUAAUACCUUAUACUCCUUAUUACCAGAAGUUAAUAAGGGAAAGAUUUAUUGGUAAGAGAUUAGCCUGUAUUGUAUCAGUUAGUUGGUGGGGUAAUGGCUUACCAAGACUAUGACACAUAACUGGGUUGGGAGGAUGAUCAGUCACACUGGAACUGAGACACGGACCAGACUCCUAGGGGAGGCAGCAGUGGGGAAUAUUGCACAAUGGACGAAAGUCUGAUGCAGCAACGCCGCGUGGAGGAUGACACAUUUCGGUGCGUAAACUCCUUUUAUAUGAGAAGAUAAUGACGGUAUUAUAUGAAUAAGCACCGGCUAACUCCGUGCCAGCCGCCGCAGUAA